GUCCUGGAUAACUCAGUUGGUUAGAGCAUGGUGCUGAUUAUGCCAAGCUUGCAGUUUCAAUCCCUGUAUGGGACA
rnacentral:tRNA from 1 species